UCCGAGUUGACCCCGGCAGUCUCCCAAGAGUCCCCGGCAUUACCCGCUGGCAACAUGGGACAGGGGUUGCGCUCGUUGCGGGACUUAACCCAACAUCUCACGGCACGAGCUGACGACAGCCAUGCAGCACCUGUGCUAGCCCCUUACGGACACGGGCUUUCACCCGCUUUAACUAGCAUGUCAAGCCUAGGUAAGGUUCUUCGCGUUGCGUCGAAUUAAACAACAUGCUCCGCUGCUUGUGCGGGUCCCCGUCAAUUCCUUUGAGUUUUAGCCUUGCGGCCGUACUCCCCAGGCGGGGCGCUUAAUGCGUUAGCUGCGGCACGGGCGGAGUCGACACCGCCCACACCUAGCGCCCAUCGUUUACGGCGUGGACUAC
rnacentral:misc_RNA from 1 species